rnacentral:rRNA from 1 species
CCCUUAGAUGUCCUGGGCCGCACGCGCGUUACACUGAUGCAUUCAACGAGCUUAUAACCUUGGCCGAGAGGCCUGGGCAAUCUUGUUAACGUGCAUCGUGAUAGGGAUAGAUUAUUGAAAUUAUUAAUCUUGAACGAGGAAUUCCUAGUAAACGCAGAUCAUCAAUCUGCAUUGAUUACGUCCCUGCCCUUUGUACACACCGCCCGUCGCACCUACCGAUUGGAUGGUCCGGUGAAGCCUCGGGAUUGUGGUUCUUGCCGCUUUAUUGUGGCGUGACCGCGAGAACUUGUCUAAACCUUAUCAUCUAGAGGAAGGUGAAGGCGGAACA